rnacentral:rRNA from 1 species
ACGGGAGGCAGCAGUGAGGAAUAUUGGUCAAUGGGCGGAAGCCUGAACCAGCCAAGUCGCGUGAAGGAUGAAGGUAUUAUGUAUUGUAAACUUCUUUAGACGUAGAGAAAUAAGGUGCUCGUGAGCACUGAUGCUAGUAUACGUAGAAUAAGGAUCGGCUAACUCCGUGCCAGCAGCCGCGGUAAUACGGAGGAUCCGAGCGUUAUCCGGAUUUAUUGGGUUUAAAGGGUGCGCAGGCGGCUUUUUAAGUCAGUGGUUAAAUCGUGGAGCUCAACUCCAUCCCGCCAUUGAUACUGGAGAGCUUGAUUGCGGUCGAGGUUGGCGGAAUUCGUCGUGUAGCGGUGAAAUGCAUAGGUAUUACGAAGAACUCCGAUUGCGUAGGCAGCUUACCAGGCCGGCAAUGACGCUCAUGCACGAAAGUGCGGGGAUCGAACAGGAUUAGAUACCCUGGUA